rnacentral:rRNA from 1 species
UACGGAGGGGGCUAGCGUUGUUCGGAAUUACUGGGCGUAAAGCGCGCGUAGGCGGACCUGCAAGUCGGGGGUGAAAGCCCGAGGCUCAACCCUGGAAUGCCGGUGGAUACUGUCGGGCUAGAGUCCGGAAGGGGCGAGUGGAAUUCCUGGUGUAGCGGUGAAAUGCGCAGAUAUCAGGAGGAACACCAAUGGCGAAGGCAGCUCGCUGGGACGUGACUGACGCUGAGACGCGAAAGCGUGGGGAGCAAACAGG